rnacentral:rRNA from 1 species
CGCCCUUAGAGUUUGAUCCUGGCUCAGGAUGAACGCUAGCUACAGGCUUAACACAUGCAAGUCGAGGGGCAGCAUGGUCUUAGCUUGCUAAGGCCGAUGGCGACCGGCGCACGGGUGAGUAACACGUAUCCAACCUGCCGUCUACUCUUGGACAGCCUUCUGAAAGGAAGAUUAAUACAAGAUGGCAUCAUGAGUCCGCAUGUUCACAUGAUUAAAGGUAUUCCGGUAGACGAUGGGGAUGCGUUCCAUUAGAUAGUAGGCGGGGUAACGGCCCACCUAGUCUUCGAUGGAUAGGGGUUCUGAGAGGAAGGUCCCCCACAUUGGAACUGAGACACGGUCCAAACUCCUACGGGAGGCAGCAGUGAGGAAUAUUGGUCAAUGGGCGAGAGCCUGAACCAGCCAAGUAGCGUGAAGGAUGACUGCCCUAUGGGUUGUAAACUUCUUUUAUAAAGGAAUAAAGUCGGGUAUGGAUACCCGUUUGCAUGUACUUUAUGAAUAAGGAUCGGCUAACUCCGUGCCAGCAGCCGCGGUAAUACGGAGGAUCCGAGCGUUAUCCGGAUUUAUUGGGUUUAAAGGGAGCGUAGAUGGAUGUUUAAGUCAGUUGUGAAAGUUUGCGGCUCAACCGUAAAAUUGCAGUUGAUACUGGAUAUCUUGAGUGCAGUUGAGGCAGGCGGAAUUCGUGGUGUAGCGGUGAAAUGCUUAGAUAUCACGAAGAACUCCGAUUGCGAAAGGCAGCCUGCUAAGCUGCAACUGACAUUGAGGCUCGAAAGUGUGGGUAUCAAACAGGAUUAGAUACCCUGGUAGUCCACACGGUAAACGAUGAAUACUCGCUGUUUGCGACAUACAGCAAGCGGCCAAGCGAAAGCGUUAAGUAUUCCACCUGGGGAGUACGCCGGCAACGGUGAAACUCAAAGGAAUU